rfam:Triticum aestivum genome assembly, contig: Triticum_aestivum_CS42_TGACv1_scaffold_289706_4AL
UCUUUACUCCCUCCGUCCCAAAAUUCUUGUCUUAUAUUCUAUUAGAUACUGAUGUAUCUAAUACUAAAACGUGACUUCAUACAUCCGUAUUUAGACAAAUUUAAGACAAAAAUUUUGAGACGGAGGGAGUAUUAU